GUGAACCCUCACCACAAGGCCCCAGAGAGGUCCGGGAAGCAAGGAUGGCAUCGGGGUGGGGCGGAAACACAGGGACAGGAAAAAGUCUACACAGGAAACAGAUGUCCAAUCUCUUCCCAGACGACACCACCAGGCGAGCACCCAGGCCCAGAGGAGGACUGGCCUGUUAACAGCCGUCCCAUUUACCAAGUGGCUGAGUCCAGUCUUCAACUCCUGCCAGUUGAACACAAAAGGCCCUGGACUGAGGACCAAAAAUCACUGAGGAUGCAGGUCCUUAGGGAAAUAGGGAAACUGAGUGGAAAUCUACAUAUCAAAUGCAGAGCUGCCCCAGUCCUCCUUCCUGCCUGACUGAAGAUGCUGAGAAAGACCAUGAAACUACCCACCCACCCCCAAGCAGAAUUCCUCCCUAGGGGAACACCUGCCCGAGUAAAGAUCCCACCUGUGGAUAGUCUGCUUUUUGUUGCAUCCACAGUAGCAGCUUUGGAGCCCUGAAUGACUACCCUGUGAUGAAAGCCACCUGUGAUGAGCCCUGUCUGUGCCCACUCAGUGUCCCCAGCUGUUGGUGUCUCCCUCCUGGAUACAAACAGGCAACCAAGGAAGGCUUAAGACGUUAAGAAAACUUACAAUGAAAGAAAACAACCAGAGAAUGGAAAGUACAGAGACCAUCCAGGGAACACAACAGAAUCAUGUAAAAAUCAUUGCUGCAGAGGGGUCAGGAAAGAUGGGACGUCUCAAAACAAAAUAAGGCUGGAUUCUGUGAAGUCUCCAAGCACCAGAGUGAAAACACAGAAGAAUGAUGAGCCAUGCAAGGAUCAAGACUUGAAAUUUGAGAAAAGUACCUUCCCGUGAGAUGGCCUCUGUGAGAGCGGGUCCAGAUCUGUGCUGCGGGGGCUGGGGAGCUGUUGGUUCUUGUAAAUCACCUUC